rnacentral:lncRNA from 1 species
UCCGGAUAAUAUCUUCAGAGGAUAAACGGUGUUAACGAACGUUACCCGCUGUGCUGUUGAAUGUAUUUUCAGUCGGUUGAAAAACUGGAAUCAUUUUAUCCACGGAUUCCUUCCAGUUCUUUUGUCGGAACGGAAAAAUCAACGUGAUAGUCACAGGUUCCGGUAAGAAAACGCUGUAUGCGAUCGUUGUCGUAUAUUACUGCCGUACUAAUAGAUCUCAGGCGGGAGUGACGGAAUCUGACGCCUUCGAUCCCAAAAACCGCACACACGUCCAUCUGCAGAUCAAUUUCACGGGUCUCCGCAAGUAAUAUCCGGCUGUUAACCAACGAAGAACGGUUUUUUUGGCGGCAGCGGCGGCGGCGGUACGUCGUGCGUGGAUUCGACAAUUUCGAACGAGCUGCUGCGGCGGGUGAGAACAACUCGUCGUCCUUCCCUUCGACGUCCGAUCGGUAAAAUGCUAGAUCACACACUAGCCUGGCUAAAAAGACGACUAGCCACGGCCUCGUCACGUGAUGAUUGCGUCACUCUACUCGAUUGCCCCACACCACCAGCUACGGCGAACCGGGCGGCCAUCUUUACCCAGUAGAAGAACAACGGACGGCAAUAGUUCUGCAGGUGAAGGGUGGGUGCAGCUGGUGGGGGGAUGUGAACCACAGUUACUGUGAAUGGAACAGGUACCGUAAUCAACAGUCUUCCGGAACAAAACGGAGAAAAACAAAAUAACAACUCACGAGUUUCGGUGUACGCAAUAGACGGAAUUCGAACAGAAUUACGAUCCGAAAAUAAAAGAAGAAAGAUGUGGUCAGUAA